GACGAACGCUGGCGGCGGGCUUAACACAUGCAAGUCGAACGGAAAGGCCCUGCUUUUGUGGUGUGCUCGAGGGGCGAACGGGUGAGUAACACGUGAGUAACCUGCCCUUGACUUUGGGAUAACUUCAGGAAACUGGGGCUAAUACCGGAUAGGAGCUCCUGCUGCAUGGUGGGGGUUGGAAAGUUUCGGCGGUUGGGGAUGGACUCGCGGCUUAUCAGCUUGUUGGUUGGGUAGUGGCUUACCAAGGCUGUGACGGGUAGCCGGCCUGAGAGGGUGACCGGCCACAUGGGGACUGAGAUACGGCCCAGAGUCCUACGGGAGGCAGCAGUGGGGAAUAUUGCACAAUGGGAGGAAGCCUGAUGCAGCAACGCCGCGUGCGGGAUGACGGCCUUCGGGUUGUAAACCGCUUUCGCCUGUGACGAAGCGUGAGUGACGGUAAUGGGUAAAGAAGCACCGGCUAACUACGUG
rnacentral:rRNA from 1 species